rnacentral:lncRNA from 8 species
UUGUAGUUGUAUUUUGUCAUUUAUGCCUGUCCUUGUCUGUGUCCUAUGUCCUGUCUAAGGAGAGGAUGCUCUUUUCUGGCAGGUGUCUGGUCCUGGUGGAUGUGCUGACCAGCAACACCUCAGUGCUCCAGGAGCUCAUCCAGGUCCCACGGCAGCUAGGAGAGGUGGCCGCCUUCGGAGGGAGCAACGUGGGGCCCAGCGUGGCCAGCUGCUUUCGCAUGGCUCCUGGGAAAACCUCCAUCCAGCUCCAACUUCCUGAGGUGGAUGAGCCUGGAGCUCCAGUCCGUGGUGUGGCUGUCUGUGCUGCAGCGAGAGGUCCAGGCAGAGAACGCCCAACACCAGGCUAAGUGCUCCAUCUGGAAACAGUUUCCCAUCAAGAGCUUUAGGUGAGCCACAGGACCUCGACAGGUGAACGCUAUUUCAACCAUAUAGGGAAUGUCAAAUCUGCUUCCUGUCCUGGGCAAGGCUUUAAUUUACCCCAUCAUUGAGUACUACAGUACACCCCAGUAAAAAGCGUAAAUCAUAGUCCACAGACGCUGAGAUACGAUAGUCUCGUGUCCCAUCUGAGACCACCAAAGUGGGGGAGGAACAUCCACACAAUUCCUAGCCAACGCGACGCCGGUACGUGUCCUCUAUUCAUUUGAAUGUGUUGACAGUUGGUGAAAUUGCUUGAGCUGUGCUGAGAAUUCGAAAAGUAUGAAAGACAACGGUCCAAUGUUGUAGAACACUGCUGUGCGUACGCAUACACAUUCUGGACUCUGAUAAACCCAUAAGAAUAAUUUCAUUAAGCCAUCAGUUUUUUUUAUGUCACUCUCAGCCCAUCCCAGCCACUCUCAACCCAUCCCACCUAUCACCAUAGAUCACCCUCGUGACCUUUCUAACCUUUCUAAUCGUAUAUUUCUUAUUUUUAUUUAACCUUUAUUUAACUAGGCAAGUCAGUUAAGAACAAAUUCUUAUUUACAAUGACGGCCUACCAAAAGGCAAAAGGCCUCCUGCAGGGACGGGGGCUGGGAUUAAAAAUAAAAUAAAUAUAGGACAAAACACACAUCACAACAAGAGAGACAACACAACACUACAUAAAGAGAGACAUAAGACAACAGCAUAGCAUGGCAGCAACACAUGACAACACAGCAUGGUAGCAGCACAACAUGGCAGCAGCACUACAUGGUAGCAGCACAAAACAUGGUAUGAACAUUAUAGGGCACAGACAACAGCAUAAAGGACAAGAAGAUAGAGACAACAAUCCAUCACACAAAGCAACCACAACUGUCAGUAAGUGUGUCCAUGAUUGAGUCUUUGAAUGAAGAGAUUAAGAUAAAACUGUCUCGUUUGAGUGUUUGUUGCAGCUCGUUCCAGUCGCUAGCUGCAGCAAACUGAAAAGACGAGCGACUCAGGGAUGUGUGCUUUAGUAUCCACGGAUUGUGAGCUUAAGAUGAAAACCUUUCCUACGAGUAUUAUUAUUUUAUUUAUUGACUGACUAUGGCUUUCUAAAUCGCCCAACACUUCUAUUUGUAAGGUUCAUUUUAAGUGAAUAUUGUGUUUUUUUUUAUUUUAUUUUUUUACCAGAAUAAAUGGGCUCCCGGGUGGCAUAGUGGUCUAAGGCACUGCAUCUCAGUGCUUGAGGCGUCACCACAGACACCCUGGUUUGAUUUCAGGCUGUAUCACAACCGGCCGUGAUUGGGAGUCCUGUAGGGCAGCGCACAAUUGGCCCAGCGUCGUCCGGGUUUGGCCGGUGUAGGCCGUCAUUGUAAAUAAGAAUUUGUUCUUAACUGACUUGCCUAGUUAAAAAUUAUUUAUUUGUAAUUAAAAAUUUUAUUUAAUGUAAAAUUAAUCUAGGGAUUCUGUCUAUUCUCAGCUAAAUCUACAGAGCUGAGAUUGUUGUAUGCCCCAUGUAUGGCGGAAAUGAUUUUGUAUCAUUUAAAUUGAAAAACCUGAAGUGUUGAAUCAAGUGUUGUUUUUUUGUACCAGUUCAUAAACCAUGUGCCAUGGAAUCAGUACGUCGAAAAUCUCUUCCCAUUUAUUUUGAAACCUGUAUGAUGCUGCUGUCAACAUUUUUGUCCUCAAAAGAAACUCUUAUAUUUUUCUAUUUAUGCCAAAUCCUUACAGCCAAUUUGUAUCUUUAAUAUAUGGCAGGCAAACAAGUUCCCUACCUUCUCCCUUUUCCACUUGUCUCCUCCAUUUUUGUGGGUAAUGCUGCAAUCAGUUGGUUGUAAAUUUGGAUUGAGCAGACAUUCCCAUAUUUUCGAUAGCUACAUAUGUGACAUAACUCCACCGUUUCUAUUCAUAAUAUCAUUAAUAAAUUCUUCACCACGCUGUCUGUGUGAGUGGACCAUUUCAGUUUGUCCGUGAUGUGUACGCCGAGGAACUUAAAACUCACCACCUUCUCCACUACUGUCCCGUCAAUGUGGAUAGGGGGCUGCUCCCUCUGCUGUUUCCUAAAGUCCAUGAUCAUCUCUUUUGUUUUGUUGACAUUGAGUGCGAGGUUAUUUUCCUGACACCACACUCCGAGGGCCCUCACCUCCUCCCUGUAGGCCGUCUCGUCAUUGUUGGUAAUCAAGCCUACCACUG